UACGUAAGUGGCGAGCGUUAUCCGGAAUUACUGGGCGUAAAGCGUGCGCAGGCGGUUCGUGAUGUCUGAUGUGAAAGCCCCGGGCUCAACCUGGGAAUUGCAUUGGAAACUAGCGGGCUGGAGUGUGGCAGAGGGGGGUGGAAUUCCACGUGUAGCAGUGAAAUGCGUAGAUAUGUGGAGGAAUACCGAUGGCGAAGGCAGCCCCCUGGGUCAAGACUGACGCUCAUGCACGAAAGCGUGGGGAGCAAACAGG
rnacentral:rRNA from 1 species